UGUAAGAGAACUAAGCUGGUUAGUCCGUCCCGUCCUGAGAUUGAAGGUGGACUGUGAAAGCCUGCUCUGUGCCGGAAAGGAAAUGGAUAAUUAGCAGUAAAUGCGCGGAAUAAUAAGCAGGAUUAAAUACAUGUGUGUGUCAGAUGGGCGCGUUCAUGUGCGAUGAGAUGUGAUGCGGUGGGCACGGAGACAUCGGUUUUCUCCGGCUGGUUAGAAACCUCGAUUGGAAAAAUUUGCCAGGGACCGCUGAGCGGAGCCCUGCCCGUGCCCGGCCCUGCUCCCGGCUGAAGGUGACAGACGGAGCGCGGGUGUCGCCCGGCGCGGGGCCAAUGGCAGGACGUGUUCCUGCAUCCCGCCCAUGGCGAGGGACAGGCUGGGACAGCGGCCACCCAAAUCCACCCAGCAAAUGACAUUUUCCUGCAAAAGCGCGGCGGAGCCAAUCGCUCCCUGCACUGUGCAGCCAAUGGAUGCCGGGCUCUUACCCAGCCACUGACAGCGGCUCCGGGGCUGGAGGGCCUCGGGACAGCUCUGCCAAGCGCGUUCCUGCACAGCCCGAGCCGCCGGUGUGGGUCCCAUCCGCGCCGUGAUUCAUUUCCCGGCCAUAGCGAUGCCAUUGUGAGCCCUCGGGGUGACGCGGCGAGCGACGCGUCCCGCCCGCAGCGACCCGCGGCUGGCGGGGGCAGCCCGAGGUGAUCCGGGGUUUGUGUUCCCGUUUAGCAGUGCCACGGCUGCCUACCCAGCAGACCUGCUCCCGAGAGCCAGAGGGAUGGUGGUAGUUACGGGGCAGAACAAAGUGAGCGGAAACCCGGAUGAUGCCAUGUCGAGCUCGGAUGCAGAGGAUGAUUUCCAAGAGCCGGCCACUCCUACUGCAACCCAGGCAGGACAAGCUCUACCUCUGCUGCCCCAGGAGUUUCCAGAAGUUGUCCCCCUGAACGUGGGAGGGAUGUACUUUACCACGAGACUGUCCACCCUGAGGCGUUACGAGGACACCAUGCUGGCAGCCAUGUUCAGCGGGAGGCACUACAUCCCCACGGAUGCUGAGGGCAGGUACUUCAUCGACAGAGAUGGAACCUACUUUGGAGACAUACUUAACUUUCUACGCUCUGGUGACCUGCCACCAAGAGAACGAGUGAGGUCAGUUUACAAGGAAGCUCAGUAUUAUUCCAUAGGACCAUUGCUAGACAAUCUAGAGGAUAUCCAGCCUCUGAAAGGAGAAAAAGUUAGACAAGCUUUCCUGGGCCUAAUGCCAUAUUACAAAGAUCACUUGGAACGGAUAAUCGAAAUAGCAAAGCUCCGAGCUAUGCAGAGAAAAGCGAGAUUUGCAAAACUGAAGGUCUGUGUCUUCAAAGAGGAGAUGCCCAUCACUCCCUACGAGUGCCCCCACUUCAAUUCCCUGCGUUUUGAGAGGAGUGAGAGCGAGACCAAGCUGUUUGAGCACCACUGUGAGGUGGAUGUGUCCUUUGGCCCCUGGGAGGCCGUGGCCGAUGUCUACGACCUGCUGCACUGUAUCGUGACAGACCUGUCUGACAGGGGCAUCACUGUGGAUCACCAGUGCAUUGGGGUGUGUGACAAACACCUCAUCAACCACUACUACUGCAAGAGGCCCAUCUAUGAGUUCAAGAUCACUUGGUGGUGAGUUGUUUUCUCCGGGACAGCGCGAGGGAUAAAAGGACUUCUAAGGUGACAGUCGAUUGCUUUUGAUAUUUUUGCAAGGUGUCUCUGGAAAUGCAUUGCUGCUAACAUUCCUUGGAGUCAGUGAGCUGCUCAGCAAAGGGAACCUGGUACAGAGGUUAAAGAACCUCUGGAAUCUUGAAAAACCAGCCUGACAUCAGACUGUUGGCUCAGGUACCUUAACGAGGCACAACACACAAAAAUCACCUCAUGGAAGUGGUGGAGAGGAGUGUCUGACAUCUUCUAAAAGGUGCCCCCAACCAGGUGGCUUUAGUAUCCCAGUCUGCAGAAUGGAAUUGCAGAUCUCUCCUGCUUUAUUGGGAAGCUGGGGUGCUGAUAUUGCUGACAUGUGGUUCAGCUUUACCCACUUAGAGAUGUUUUAGUUCCUACUUAAACUUACCACUUUAUAAAAUUGAGUAAUACCCAGCACAAAGAUUCUGGAAAUGUAAUUUUGAUGUAAUAGAUAAUUUAAAAAAGAGGAAAAAAGGAGUGUUCCCUAUAUAUUAUUAAUUGUUGUCAGGAUUAAGGUGUAUUUCUUUUUUAAUUAAGAAUCUACAUUGUGAAUUAUAAUGUUAUAUUUCAAUUAUUAUUAUUAUUGUUAUAACAAGGAAUAGCAGAUUUGGAAUAUAUUCCUUAAUGCUUUUAGGAAUAAUAACUGUCCAUGGAAGACUCGUGCCUGUUUUUAGCCUUAGAAAUUCUAAAUGUUUACAAUAUCUACAAAAAAAAAAGAAGCUCUAUAGAAUCAGGUCAUUUACAAAGGCUUUUGGUAAAUGAGAAAACCCUAUAUGUAUGUUCCUAUUAGCAGAAGUAAGAGGAAUAUUUAAUGUAUAUUAUUUUAUUACUGACUCUUUUUACAUUCUGUGAUAUUUAAACUUUGUUCUAGAGUUAAAGUCAGAUGAUACUGUACAAGUGCUUCCUUCACCUCACCUUCUUCAGACAAUUAAUUCUUAUUUUUAUCAUUCUUGUUGACCCUUCCUGGUGUCAUAUAAGGAAAAACAAAAUUCAACCGUCCUAUUCAAAUAUUUCUCCAAUUAUAAAUCAGUAGAUCUGGGUAGUAAAUCCCUUUCCAUGCCAAAAGAGGCAACCAUUGCAGAAUCACAUUCUUUUCAGAAGGCAAUUGUUGCACUUCUGACAUGAGUAACCACAUCCCAAAGCUGAAUUACUCGAUGUCCAAAACCAAAAGGGAGAUUUAAACGUCUGCAGAUAUUGAUGUUUUGUGAGGUACAGGAAACUCAGCUGUUUUUCUAAAAUGAAGGGACUUCCAAAUAAUCUUAAGGAGAGAGAAAAAGUAAAUAUUUGCAUAUUGCAUUCCAUUGGAUCAGAUGAUCCAACAAUAUUGCUUAAUUAAACUUUUGACCAAAACUUAAGAAACGCAUUAAUUACAGUGAUCAAAAUUCUUAGUUACCUGAGGUAAUUUUUAGUGUAAUUCUAAAAACCUUAUGGUCAAAUUGUCUUGCAAAAAAAGAGCCAAAUUGUUUGCAUUGUCACACUUUCAGGCACUUAAUUUAGCAAUUUUUAGUGAAUUGUCUCUCUGAAGUGGGGGCUCUAAUGAUCUCUUUGCAAAUGUUUACUUAGAGAGGCUCGUUGUCAAGCGCUGAGUUUCAAGUCCAGAGCUUGAAAGGGCAUUUGAAUCUUAAGUUUGUUUAAAUUGUUUUCUUAAAUAUUGGCCUUUGUGUUACAGAUUCUUGUACUUGUGUUUGGCGACCCAAAAUUAAGAGUUAAACUGAGACUAGUAAAGCUUCCCUACAAUGAGAGGAACUUGGUUUCUUUGCUGGCUUCAUUUAUUUUCAUUUUAUUUUUUUUCCCAGGGAAUCUUAAACUGCAAACCACAAUUUCUUCUAAAAUUACGUAAGAUCUUAAAACCGAGGCUUACAAACUUUUGGCUGCUUGUCCACUUCAGACAUUUAAAUUCAGGAUUUUCAGCAUAGUUUAUUUAGGGAUUACAAUGAGAAUUGCAGUUUUAAGGGGAGUUUCGGUGUUUUUUUGCCAUUUCCCAUAUAUGUAUUUACACAGGAGAGAACUCUGGUUUGAAUUUCAGCACCACUUGCAGAAACAGGACACAGUCUGAUUUUUAACAGUGUGGUUUUUUUGGUUUGGCUUUAAGAAUUUUCUCGCUGUUUUUAUAGAGAAGCUGUGAGGACAAACCCCCUGUUUUGACCACGUUUGCUAUUUCUUAACAGGCACAUGCUGAUAUUUUAUUACUUUCCCCUGUUCAUUGCUUUAAAAGAGUAAGGAAAACUACCGACCCAAAAGGAUAAAAUGAAAAUCUUGGUCUGUAUCAGCUGCAUCUUAAUCAAAGCUCUCAUCCUUCCAGUCCUCCUGGAGGCAGCAGACGUUCAGUGCAAUAAUGGGAAGGAAAACACGGAUUUAAGCCCACGUGCUUUCAUUAAACACAUCCGUUCUGUGCUGUGAUUUGGGCAGGUUAACCCUGUUUUUAUUGACUGCCCGUGUUCUAAAGCAGUCUUUGUUUACAGCGAUUUAGAUGAUCUUGCCUAAUCUGUGCUCAUUUUCUGACAGAAGCAGAGGAGUCGUGCAGGAGGAUGGCAGGGGAGUAGAAUCUAAUCACUGCUUUAUGUAACAGUAGUGACUUUUCUUGGCGUGUAGCAUAACUUUUGAAAUUCUACAUUUGCAACAGAAAUGUGAGUAGCUGAUCUACUAAAUCCAUGUUUAACGGGAUUGAUGGUUUUGUACAUCGUGGAUGCUUUAGAAUUGUCUGAUUAAACUAAAUGCCUAUGGAAUACUGCCUUUUUUUUUUUUUUUCCCUUUAGGACUUUUCUUUAUAUCCAGCCAGGCCAGAGGUUUGCUAGAACAUAUUUACCUAUUUCUCCGUGCUUCUCUUGGCUUUUUUGCCACUUUAGCAUCUACAAAGCUACUUUUCCACCCCCACACUCUCAAAUCCCUGUGUUUGGCACUGGAAACAAAUUGGGCACAGUCAAUAGUCUCGUGUCAUCAAUAUUACCUUGCUGUGAAUAUCAUGUUUGCAGAUCAUUAAAAGGACAGUGCAUGUCCAUUUAGCUGAUUCAGUUCGAAGGACAUACAUUUUUUAUUUCAUAUUCUGAGACUGGAUACAGGCCCUUUUUCCAUUUUUAGUUCCAAAUUGAUACACAGGAACACACAUAUUACAAUCGACUUUUUUUCCUCCCCCAAAUAAGUCUGAAAUAUUUUCAAAGCCCACAUCACAUAUCUGGAUUGCAGUGAUUAUUCUGCUUUUAUGAAUACUGGUGGGACAGUUGGGGGAUACUUAUUUAAAAUUAGAAUUGUUAGCUAUUUUUUUAUGUUGCUGUGUGUAUGAAAAAAAACAUGACAAGACUAAUCUUUUUAACAUUCCCUCUGGAAUGUUUAACAUUCCCUCUGGAAUCCACUCUGCAGUGGUUUUUAACAGGGAGCAAAGGCAGGUCUUACCAUCAGGUCUCAUCUUAAAUGACUUGGCCAAUUCCACAGCACAUUCAGUAUUUCUGCUUCUGUUUUACAGUUGUAAAAUAGGAAGGGGGGAAAAAAAGGAAAAUUUAAAAAAGAAGGAAAAUAACUCAUCUUUCUGCAUCACUCAAAAUGACCUGAAAAUAUAUUUAUGUGCAGCAGCCACUUUAUUGAUUUCAAGAGCUUAAAAAAAAAAUAUAAAAAUAACUUUUGAGCUUGGUGUGGGCUUCUUAACUUGAAUACCCAAUACCCUGCAUAGGAAUCUGAAAUACUCCUUGCUGAACUUCCAUCCUCCUUGGAGGACAGUGAAGGUGCUGCCAGCUUUGAUCUGGGAAGCCUUUGAGCCAUAAACAGAUCCUCUGUGGUCCUCGUGGUGCACGUUUUCUUCUGGGGUUUUAUUUUUAUUUUAAAGCUUAUUUUAACCAAAACCUAUAAUGAGGGAUCAGCUUCUGCAUUGGUGAGGGUGUGAGUUCUCUGGUUUGUUUUGGAGCACUUCAGGUCUUAGUCACCUGAGUAACAAAAGCAGUGAGUUAUUGCAGCAGGAAGUUCUGCAUGACCCCCUUUUGAUGGAUUUUUUUAAAGUUUUUAGGAAGUCUGCCUGGGAGACACCUCAUGAUGUAAUAUAUGCAAAUACCUGAACUUGUUAAUGUGAAUAUUUUUGAGAUUUUGUGGUUCAGUUUUGUAAUAUUCUCCCCUGAAACUAGCAAGAGUGCUAAGGGUUGAGUUAAACGUUAGUUUUCUGAUAAGCCAGCUUAUGCCUUAGAUAUCUCCUGCCCUCAUUUUGUAAAAUCACUCAUCCCAAAGGUGUUUGAUGUAGGAAAAAGUCAAGGCUGUUGUAGUUACAGGAAAACCAGGAAUCUUCCUUGAUUCUCAACAAUGAGUCAUUAAGAGAAUCAGGGUUUGUUAAUCCACUCACACCCUCCAUUCUUUGCUCUGGUGGUCUCAGGGCUGGGUCUGGCUCACAAGGGUCCUUGAAGGCAAAACUCAAACAGUUCUGUUAUGGGGAACGAGCUGAUUUGCAUAAGCACCUAAUUUGGCCUUUGCUGAGUGAUUGUUAAAAUUCCUGCAAACGAAGGAUGUCGAUAUUUUAAACUGUUCCAAGCAACAGCUUUGUUAAACCCUAAUCUGCUUUGAGCCAGUGGAUGUAUUGUGAGGGCUUGGCCAGGUCUUUUAUCUGUGCUUCUCGGUGGAUCUGUGUUUUCCCAGUGGAAUCUGAAGCCCAGGGAGGUUGCUGAUCACGGCCAGGGAAUACAUUUUCAGGUGUGUCCUGAGCUGGAUUUUGGAAAUACGAAAGUGGGAGGGAAUUAGUUCUGCAGUGUGUUCCCCGGGGAUGAUCCUCACUACCUCUAAAGGAACACUUUGGUGAGAUCCUGAUCCACACUCCCCCACAUCUCCCUUUGUGAGCUGAAGUGUCAAAGGCAUGAGGAGAUGAGGUGUCUGGGCUGAACACUCACAGUGAGAUAAUGACUCUGACUGGAUCCCCCGUGGGCCUCACCCCCUUCUCUGACCCUGCAGAUGUACAACUCUGUGUGCAGGAAAUCUAUUACUUCUCUCUGCUGCACCCUCAGAUUUGUUUGCAAGGUGAAUGCUUGGUCUGUUUUAAAAUAAAGGGGUUGUUUUAAUAUUGCAAUAUAACUGAUAGUUGCUAAAGAAUCAGUGAAAACCUUAUUACUGUCAAAAAUACGUGACUAAAUCAAUUAACUUAUAGCAUAAUCACUUUAAUUUCACUCUUCUUAUUUUUUUUAAUAAAGACUUUUUUUAAGGGCUUACAUCUGUUUCAUAGAAAUAUGCCUUCAGCCUAAGUAGCUGUGUUUUGGGGGGUGAGAGCCUUUUUUAUUGCUUGCUAUGAGCUGAAGGAUAAAUUGCACAAUCCUUCAUCUGUCUGGGUUUUUUUUUCCUUAAAAUCUAACUACUCAUAUAAUUAAAGGUCAUGAUUUUCUAGCUUCAUUUGGCACUUGCAGGCCCUGGGAACCCUCCUUCCCAGCUUUACUCUCACUGCUCAUUCUUCUUUAUAGAUGACGUGGGACAGGUGACACGAUGAGGAAGAUGAUGGAAGUGCCAGCAGGGAAAGGCUCCUGUCAGAGCUGGUGGUUUCCAUUGCAGGGUGUUCUUGGGGCUUGAUUUCAGCUCUUUUUCUGUGUGAGGCACAGGAACCUUCAGCACCAUGUGUGUGAGCUCAGUCUGUCAGGAAUUCAGGGCAACUUCCACUGGUCCUUCAUUUCUGUGUGAGUUCAUUGUGGUGUUGAUUCUGGGAGCUAAGAGGGUGGGAAAAUCCAGUGGAUUGCAGGGUCACACUGCUUGAACUUUGUGCCACAGCUGGAUCUUUCUGCAUGGCAAGGCAGAGUAAUCAUUUGGGACACAACUGCAGGACAGGUAAGAGAAGACUUCAGAGCAGAGACUGUAGAAAAAUCAUCUCUGAAUUCACCAUAAAACUCUGGGAUAUAUUUCUUUCACUUGCAUCAUUUAAUAACUACUUUACUCUGGGCAAUUUAUAGACCCCACUAGCUUUAAGUUGUGGUUCCUGGAGUUGUACUGAUCUCUUUGGUCAUUUGUAGUUAAACAAUUGUAAAUGUUUUCAGGUCGUUCACACACAGCCAAGGAUCGUUCUGAAUUUUGGGCUAUGGAAACAUAAUUUCACUUAACAGAAUCCCCCCCUGCCCCAGUCUUUCAUUAUCUUUCUGCACAUAAGCUGAUUUCAGAGGGUAAUUAUGCUCUGUUUAUUAUCUCCUGUAUAUAGUCCUCUAACUGGAAAUCACUUUCCAGAACAGCAGUUCUUAGUCAUUUUACUUACACAAGCUUAGUAUAAGUUUACCUCCACUUUCACUGUGACUUUUAUAAAUGGAUUUUGUUUUGCUGAAUUAUGAAUUGUAUGUGUCUAUGCAUUGUAACCCGUAAUGCCUUUGAAAAUCCAGCCUGGAUGCUAACGAUCAGGGUUUGGAAUUCUCUCCAAAUGUGUUUUGUUAAUAAUUCUGUUGACGUGUGAUGUUCAAUACUGUGAGUACUGCAGUGUAUUAUUUCUUAAUAUUUUUGACUUUUCAGUUCGGGUAAUAUAUAGUCUAUGUUUUUUAUUUAAAACACAUAGAAGAAAAUGUGGAUAUAAAUUUGUGCUGUGCAAUAAAAGAUUAUUAUACUGAAAA